rnacentral:rRNA from 1 species
UACAGAGGGGGCAAGCGUUGUUCGGAAUUACUGGGCGUAAAGGGCGCGUAGGCGGCCGCCUAAGUCAGACGUGAAAUCCCUCGGCUCAACCGGGGAACUGCGUCUGAUACUGGGUGGCUUGAAUUCGGGAGAGGGAUGCGGAAUUCCAGGUGUAGCGGUGAAAUGCGUAGAUAUCGCUUGGAACGCCAACGGUGAAAACAGGUUGCUGGGGGUGUGCUGACGCUGAGACACGAAAGCCAGGGGAGCGAACGGG